CAGUCUGCCAUUUAUGCCAGGGGCUUGUCCAGACACCUGGACCAUGAGAACUUGCAGCAAUAAAAAGAGUAAAGUUAAUAAUAUGAAUGGAGGUCCUAACUGCUAAUUGCUGGUUUAAUGGAGGAAAAGAGAUGUUAAGAGAAUAAAGUUUAUCAACAUCCUUCUGGAAUUGUGGGCACAAGAACAGGACAGAGUAUUCCAGCUGCAGUUACACUAGUACCAAACGUGGAGGUAAAAUAAUCUCUCUACUCCUACUCAAGAUUUUCC